rnacentral:tRNA from 1 species
UGGAAUGUAGUUUAGCGGUACAGCAUAUGCCUUAAAAGCACAAGGUCCUGGGUUCAGACCCUAGCAUCGCAA